GACGAACGCUGGCGGCGUGCUUAACACAUGCAAGUCGAACGGAAAGGCCCUGCUUUUGUGGGGUGCUCGAGUGGCGAACGGGUGAGUAACACGUGAGUAACCUGCCCUUGACUUUGGGAUAACUUCAGGAAACUGGGGCUAAUACCGGAUAGGAGCUCCUGCUGCAUGGUGGGGGUUGGAAAGUUUCGGCGGUUGGGGAUGGACUCGCGGCUUAUCAGCUUGUUGGUGGGGUAGUGGCUUACCAAGGCUUUGACGGGUAGCCGGCCUGAGAGGGUGACCGGCCACGUUGGGACUGAGAUGCGGCCCGGACUCCUACGGGAGGCAGCAGUGGAGAAUAUUGCACAAUGGGCGGAAGCCUGAUGCAGCAACGCCGCGUGCGGGAUGACGGCCUUCGGGUUGUAAUCCGCUUUCGCCUGUGACGAAGCGUGAGUGACGGUAAUGGGUAAAGAAGCACCGGCUAACUACGUG
rnacentral:rRNA from 1 species